GACGAACGCUGGCGGCGUGCUUAACACAUGCAAGUCGAACGGAAAGGCCCUGCUUUUGUGGGGUGCUCGAGUGGCGAACGGGUGAGUAACACGUGAGUAACCUGCCCUUGACUUUGGGAUAACUUCAGGAAACUGGGGCUAAUACCGGAUAGGAGCUCCUGCUGCAUGGUGGGGGUUGGAAAGUUUCGGCGGUUGGGGAUGGACUCGCGGCUUAUCAGCUUGUUGGUGGGGUAGUGGCUUACCAAGGCUUUGACGGGUAGCCGGCCUGAGAGGGUGACCGGCCACAUUGGGACUGAGAUACGGCCCAGACUCCUACGGGAGGCAGCAGUGGGGAAUAUUGCACAAUGGGCGGAAGCCUGAUGCAGCAACGCCGCGUGCGGGAUGACGGCCUUCGGGUUGUAAACCGCUUUCGCCUGUGACGAAGCGUGAGUGACGGUAAUGGGUAAAGAAGCACCGGCUAACACGUG
rnacentral:rRNA from 1 species